rnacentral:rRNA from 1 species
CCCUUAGAUGUCCUGGGCCGCACGCGCGCUACACUGAUGCAUGCAGCGAGUUCUGAUCUGGUUUAUUCUUUCGGGAGAAACCUGACCUUGGCCGGAAGGCCUGGGGAAUCUGUGAACGUGCAUCGUGAUAGGGAUUGGCAUUUGCAAUUCUGUGCCAUAAACGAGGAAUUCCUAGUAAACGCAAGUCAUCAGCUUGCAUUGAUUACGUCCCUGCCCUUUGUACACACCGCCCGUCGCACCUACCGAUCGAAGGUAAUGAUGAGCCCUCAGGAUUGUUCCUCUCGCCGCGCAAGCGGUUUUAGGGAGGAGUGAGAAUUUGUGCAAAUCCCUACCUUUAGAGGAAGGUGAAGUCGUAACA